CCAGGGUCAGCGAGCAUCGGGUGUAGCCGGCAGAACUGGGGGGACGCGGAGCCCCACGGAGGAGCCCAGAAGAACCCUGCUGAGACAGUGUAGCAGGAAGCCCCCACCCUCGAUACCUAUCACCCUUGAUAAGGGCCACCCUCACCAUCUGACUGGAUUCCUCACCCUCCACCAUGCCCAUGUGAAGCUGGCCUGCCUUCAGCAAGGAUCCUGGCAGGACGCUUCAGCCAGAACCCCCUCCCUUGCCGGUUCCUCUGAGUCACUCUCCAUCCUCUGACCCCACCUGCUCCCUGGCUGUAAACCCCCAUGGCCCAUGCUGUGUUUAGAGCUGAGCCCCGUUUCUCCCUGCCCCUCUGCAACACCUAUUGCCUUGGUGGCUACACCUGCCCCUGUGGUCCUGAAUAAAGCCUGCCUCCCCGUGUUUUAACAAGUGUGGAUGAAUAAUUUUCUCAACAUUAUAAACUCGAAAUGAUAUCAAAAUGCACACACUAGCGCUAUCACUCCUAGCCAGUCGAUGCCAGCGGGGAUUUUCAAAUUUAGUAGCAUGAAGACAAGGAGAAGCCCGUUUGUAAAGGCUCACAAACGGUGCAGGCAGGGGA
rnacentral:lncRNA from 1 species